rnacentral:snRNA from 1 species
GGAUGUGAAGGUAAUCUGGCUGAGACAUCUGUUACCCCAUUGAUUUCCAGGGUUGAUUUGCUGAUCUGGCAGGCUAGGCAAGUAUUUCCUUCUUCCCUCAAUGCUUCACAUGCUUCCCUCCAGAAACUGUGUACUUGGACAAAGAGAAUGACCACCCCUGAUAGAGGAGGACUGUUUUCUUGGUCAAGAGUAUAUAAGUAGCUGAGCUCCCCUGAUAGAACCUCCAAAUAAGCUCUAAAGAUAAUCUAAGGAGGUGCACCAAAUAUGCCAAAUAAACGCAGGGGGUCCU